AUGUGGAAUGAGAGCCCCCUUGUCCCUGCUCCAUCCUGUGGGAUCCCCCAGGACUGGGGUUUGUGUGCGAGCACGGGAGGCAAGGCGAGGGAGCUGGGGACGGGUGAGCUCCUGGGGGGCGAGGGGGCGAGCAUCUCCAAGGCAGGGCGAGCAUCUCCAUGGCAGGGCGAGCAUCUCUGCAGGCAGGGCGAGCAUCUCCAAGGCAAGGUGAGCAUCUCUGCGGCAGGGCGAGCAUCUCCACGGCAAGGCGAGCAUCUCCAAGGCAAGGUGAGCAUCUCUGCAGGCAGGGCAGCAUCCCCGUGGCAGGGCUCUCCGGCCGCUAGGUGUCCUCCGUGGGCCGCACACGGGUGUCGGGGGCCCCGCGGGGAAUCCAGGGGCUCCAGAAACGUGGGGGUUUGGGCAAAACCCCCGGGACAGGACGGCAGCCCCCUCCCUCACCACCCUGCCCCGAGGCAGAGCUCUGCUCCCCCGGGGGCUGCACGGGGGGGGGACAUGGUGCUGAGCCCCCAGCUUUGGCUGUGGGGCGGACGCCUGGCUGCGUCCAUCCCUGGGGGUGCUGGUGGGAAGAGGAGAAAGGGUUUUUCCUGUGCCCCUAUGGAAAGCAGAGGAUGAGGCUGGAGCUUUGCAGGAUUCAUCUUCCCAGCCCGUGUGAGCUCUGCUAGGAAGUUAAAUGCAUCCCCUGCCAGCGAUGUGCGGCCAGCACAGGGAGAUGCUGAGCUCGCCCAGCACAGAAGGAGCAAAAAUACCUUUCCAUCCUGCACCCCGAGCCCCUGUCUGCCCCCCGGGGUCCCAAGCAGGGCUGGCUAGGUGACUCCCUGCGUGAUUAUUUGCAGCGGGUAGCCAGGGGCUGACAGGGUCCUCCUUCCUGCUGGGAAGCCCCAGAUGAUGGGAUGGGGAAGUUAGGUUUAUUCCUGAAAAUCCCAGCUCUCCCAGCCUUGUUUUUUCUCUCCUUAGAAGACCUUUUCCUUAAAUGUCCCAAAAAUAAUGCUCAAGAGUAAACGCUAUUGCCUCUGUAGGGUGUCAGCAGGGUAUUUCCCAAAGACCUUGCAGAACCCAGCUAGCGGCUUCCCCGUCAGCAUAUUCCCCCUCGCUGGAGCCAGCGAGUCCCCCCCGCACUAUCUUAUCAGCACACUCAUUAUACCCUCAGAAACACAGUGUAAACAUCGCCAGCAAACUGCACUCGAUGACAAUUUCCUUGCCAAAUAAGCCACUUCCCUGCUUGAGUGAUGGUUAUGAGAGAGGAUUUCUGUAACUGCUGCUGUUUGAACAAGUGCGAG
rnacentral:lncRNA from 1 species